rnacentral:snRNA from 1 species
UUGCUUAGGCAGCACAUAUACUAAAAUUGGAACUACGGGAAAAUUAGCAUGGCCCCUGCACAAGGAGAACAUGUAAAUUCAUGAGGCGUUCCAUAUUUUU